AGUGGGAUAGCUGGGUCAAAUGGUGGUUCCAUUUCUAGUUUUCAAAGGAAUCUCCAUACUGCUUUCCAUAUUGGCUGCACCAAUUUGCAGUCCCAUCAGCAAU
rnacentral:pre_miRNA from 1 species